UAGGGAAUCUUCCGCAAUGGACGCAAGUCUGACGGAGCAACGCCGCGUGAGUGAAGAAGGAUUUCGGUUCGUAAAACUCUGUUGUUAGAGAAGAACAGCGCAUAGAGUAACUGUUAUGCGUGUGACGGUAUCUAACCAGAAAGCCACGGCUAACUACGUGCCAGCAGCCGCGGUAAUACGUAGGUGGCAAGCGUUGUCCGGAUUUAUUGGGCGUAAAGCGAGCGCAGGCGGUCAAUUAAGUCUGAUGUGAAAGCCCCCGGCCCAACCGGGGAGGGUCAUUGGAAACUGGUUGACUUGAGUGCAGAAGAGGAGAGUGGAAUUCCAUGUGUAGCGGUGAAAUGCGUAGAUAUAUGGAGGAACACCAGUGGCGAAGGCGACUCUCUGGUCUGUAACUGACGCUGAGGUUCGAAAGCGUGGGUAGCAAACAGG
rnacentral:rRNA from 1 species